rnacentral:rRNA from 1 species
AUGUAAUCUUCGGAAAUGUCGUCUGGAGAAGUAAGAUAUAGUUUACGACAUGGACAAAAUCCUCUGGAACGAGGUGCCACUGAGGGUGACAGCCCCGUUAGUCUAAUGAAGUGACCGUUUUCUGCUUUCAACGAGUCGAGUUGUUUGGGAUUGCAGCUCUAAGUGGGUGGUAAAUUCCAUCUAAAGCUAAAUAUUGGUGGGAGACCGAUAGCGAACAAGUACCGUGAGGGAAAGAUGAAAAGAACUUUGAAAAGAGAGUGAAAUAGUACCUGAAAUUGCUGAAUUGGAACCGCUAGGAAGCAGUGUAGCUCAGGGACAUGUCCUUGUGCAAGUUAAGCUUAUCCCAAGAUUUGAGAAAGGUUGAUAAACUCGUGUAGGUUAUCUUUCCAUCAUUUCUUCGGAUGACUUUAACGAAAUGCUUCUUAUCAUCCCGUCUUGAAACACGGACCAAGGAGUCUAACAUGUGUGCGAGUGUUUGGGAUAUAAUCCCCAACGCGGAAUAAAUGUAAAUGUUCUUUUGAACUGAGGUAGGAUUUUUGCACUAUCGACCGACCAUGAUCCUUCGGGAGAAAGGUUUGAGUGUGAGCAUACAUGUUGGGACCCGAAAGAUGGUGAACUAUGCCUGAGUAGGACGAAGCCAGGGGAAACUCUGGUGGAGGUCCGUAGCGAUUCU